GGCUAUCAAAGCUCAAAAUUUCAUUGUAGACUUGAUUUGGGGGCAAGACCGACAUCAGUACAGGAGAGUGUAAAGAACUGUAGACUACAGAGAGAAUACGAUAGAGUUAAUAAUUGGAUUUGGACAUUCAUCAAAUGAGUUUCCUUGGAAAAUAUCAGACAUUUAUGUUUCAAUUUACGUGGAUGAUUCGAAAGAUCAGAACACGAUGAAGAAAGCAUCUAUAAAAUCG
rnacentral:misc_RNA from 1 species